GAAUAAAAGUCAAAGAGAGACAAAUUAUUGUUAAUAAUUUUAAUGAUACAAUUCUUAUUCAAG
rnacentral:tRNA from 1 species